CAGCAUUACAUCGAAAAAUACAGUGCAACUUUUUGUCGAUAUUUAUGCUUACCAAACUUUUCUCAACAACAGCAGUUGGCCAUGUUUUUGUUUGUCUGCAGUUUUUUAAGCUUAGCAACUUCCUUGAUUACAGCAGUUUUGAGUCGUUUUGCCCCCUUAAACCGGAUCCGUCUAUUUCCAUAGCUCAGUUCAAUUCGGUUCAAUCAACGUACUACAUAUAUUUAAUGUGUAGUAGUUUAGCCGAAGCUAUCAUUAAGUCUAAUUGACUUUUUAUCGUUACGUUUUUUGUUCUUGUUUCAUACGUCUGCUGCGGUGGACGUGACAAAAACUACACUACGAGAAAUGACGAAAAUUAUGAGAAUAGUGUAGCAGUGUGUCUUGGCAGGUGUUUGCAAUAUCUUAUAAUGAGCAAGUCGAUCGACCAUUAAACAAUACACCAAGUUCAGGAACAUAACUUCGAACAACAACAAAAAGUGAAAGUCGCCUGCAUUUGAUGGAUUAGAAUGAGCAAAGUGCGGAGUGCGGAGUGGGAGGCAAUUGCUUGUAGUCAAUUAAAAGGCAAUAAUCGUCAAACUAAAAACUAAAGCAGCAGCAAAUCAACAGCUCAACUCAGUUCAGCUCAGGACGUGUGGGACUCGAUAGAGCAAAUAAAUCACAUGACGCUGGUGUGUGCAUAAAAAAUGCGUUCAAACAAUUUGCAUACAAUUUGGUGACAGACAACUACGAAAUUAGACAGACAAAAAAAAUACGUUUAAAUUUUAUGGAGCGAAUGAUUAGAUACACUUUAUUUGGGAAUUUAAGUUAGAUGAAAGUUGUUAAAUUUGAUGAAUGUUAAAUUAGAGACAAUUAACAGUUGACUUAAGUAUGGCUAUCUAAAUAUAAUAAUAAUUCACAAUUUAAAUUAUUGCUUUCUUUGAUAAUUAUCUUGAAUAGUGAAUGUGUUAAACAAUGAAUAAUAAGCAACAUAGCUUCAUUAAAUAAAUUGUCUCUAAUGUAACAUUCACCUAAUA